AUGGCCUGCCUGAAGCAAAAGUAUUGCAUCAUCCCAAGGAUUGCUUACGCCGGUAUCUCGGUUGAGGUUGCCGUUGUUGGUGGGUUACAUAACAUUAUUAUUAGGUCAUCUCCACUUCCUCUCUACAAAUUGAAUGCUCCUUCAUUGUUGGUAGAACCAGAAAACAAAUGGAGCUCUCUUAUCUCUGCUUCCUUCUUGUCUUCUCCACCACUACAUUUCUCAAUGUGGAUGCAUCUUUUACAGGAACAUAUGGAGUAAACUAUGGCCGGAUCGCUGACAAUAUACCUUCACCUCACAGUGUGGUAACACUUCUCAAAGCCGCAAAGAUAAAAAACAUCAGGAUAUACGACGCUGAUCACGAAGUCCUCAGCGCGUUCAAGGGAUCGGGGAUUCAAAUAAUUGUUGGACUUGGAAAUGGGCUCCUGAAAGACAUCAGUGUAGCCGAGGAUCGCGCCAUGAAUUGGAUAAAUGAAAAUGUGCAGCCAUACAUUCCUGGAACUCACAUUUCCGGAAUAGCAGUGGGGAAUGAGAUCUUGGGGGGCACUGAUGUGGAACUCUGGGAGGCCUUGUUGCCUGCUGCCAAGAACGUUUACAGCGCGCUUCAAAAGCUUGGUUUGGCGAAAUCCAUUGAGGUCUCAAGUCCACAUUCAGAGGCUGUGUUUGCCAAUUCGUACCCACCAUCUUCCUGCAUUUUCAGGGAAGAUGUUGCUCAAUACAUAAAGCCACUUUUGGAGUUCUUCUCACAGAUCAAUUCCCCUUUCUAUAUAAAUGCAUAUCCAUUUCUGGCUUACAAGAGUGAUCCUGAGCACAUUGACCUCAACUAUGCUCUCUUUAAGAAAAAUGCUGGGAUUCAGGACACAAAGACUAACCUGCACUACGACAACAUGUUCGACGCCAUGGUUGAUGCAGCUUAUUUUGCUCUGGAGAAGGCUGGAUUUGAGAAGACAGAGGUCAUAGUUUCUGAAACCGGUUGGGCAUCUAAAGGGGAUGAAAAUGAAGCAGGAGCAGAUCCCAAAAAUGCCAGGACUUACAACUACAACUUACGCAAACGGCUAACGAAGAAGAAGGGGACACCUCAUAGGCCAAAGAUGGUAGUGAAAGCUUACAUCUUUGCUUUGUUCAAUGAGAAUUUGAAGCCGGGGCCGACGUCUGAGAGGAACUUUGGAUUGUUCAAAGCUGAUGGGAGCAUUUCUUAUGACAUUGGGUUCACUGGACUUGUAGGUCCUUCUGCAGCAUCCUCCUCUCUUCUUAAUUACAAGGGUCUUGGACUUCGAGGCUGGUUUCAAUCUUCACAUACGUGGGUUUUCACAAGUUGUGCUGCUGUUCUGUUUUUAAUGUUAACAUGAUGAUUAGGCUUAUGCUCGACAGCUGAAGGCAGUGUUUCAGGUUCUUAAUGUUGUAAAAUCUCUCCAUGUAUAGCCAAUUCAUUUUCUUUUCUUACAUUAUGAUUCAUUGUAAUUCAUUAACAGUACAAUUGCUGACGGCUUUUUUUUAACAAAUAAUAUUC